GACGAACGCUGGCGGCGUGCUUAACACAUGCAAGUCGAACGGAAAGGCCCUGCUUUUGUGGGGUGCUCGAGUGGCGAACGGGUGAGUAACACGUGAGUAACCUGCCCUUGACUUUGGGAUAACUUCAGGAAACUGGGGCUAAUACCGGAUAGGAGCUCCUGCUGCAUGGUGGGGGUUGGAAAGUUUCGGCGGUUGGGGAUGGACUCGCGGCUUAUCAGCUUGUUGGUGGGGUAGUGGCUUACCAAGGCUUUGACGGGUAGCCGGCCUGAGAGGGUGACCGGCCACAUUGGGACUGAGAUACGGCCCACACUCCUACGGGAGGCAGCAGGGGGUAAUAUUGCACAAUGGGCGGAAGCCUGAUGCAGCAACGCCGCGUGCGGGAUGACGGCCUUCGUGUUGUAAACCGCUUUCGCCUGUGACGAAGCGUGAGUGACGGUAAUGGGUAAAGAGGCACCGGCUAACUACGU
rnacentral:rRNA from 1 species